UACGGAGGGGGCAAGCGUUGUCCGGACUUACUGGGCGUAAAGGGUGCGUAGGCGGCCUGCUGCGUCGGUGCUGAAAGCGCCCGGCUUAACCGGGCGAGGCGUGCCGAUACGAGCGGGCUGGAGCCUUGGCGAGGGUGGCGGAACUCCUGGUGUAGUGGUGAAAUGCGUAGAGAUCAGGAAGAACACCCGUGGCGCAAGCGGCCACCUGGCCAAGAGCUGACACUGAGGCACGAAAGCGUGGGGAGCAAACAGG
rnacentral:rRNA from 1 species